GGGGAAUUGUUCGCAAUGGGCGCAAGCCUGACGACGCAACGCCGCGUGGAGGAUGAAGGUCUUCGGAUUGUAAACUCCUGUCGAUCGGGACGAACGCCCACCGGGAUAACACCCUGGAGGUCUGACGGUACCGAUUGAGGAAGCCCCGGCUAACUUCGUGCCAGCAGCCGCGGUAAUACGAAGGGGGCAAGCGUUGUUCGGAAUUACUGGGCGUAAAGGGCGCGUAGGCGGCCGAUCAAGUCAGGCGUGAAAUUCCCGGGCUCAACCUGGGGGCUGCGCUUGAUACUGAUUGGCUUGAAUGCGGGAGAGGAUAGUGGAAUUCCCAGUGUAGAGGUGAAAUUCGUAGAUAUUGGGAAGAACACCAGUGGCGAAGGCGGCUAUCUGGCCCGUUAUUGACGCUGAGGCGCGAAAGCGUGGGGAGCAAA
rnacentral:rRNA from 1 species